AUUGAACGCUGGCGGAAUGCUUUACACAUGCAAGUCGAGCGGCAGCGCGGGGGCAACCCUGGCGGCGAGCGGCGAACGGGUGGAGUAACAUAUCGGAACGUACCCAGUCGUGGGGGAUAACUAUCCGAAAGGAUAGCUAAUUACCGCAUACGUCCUGAGGGAGAAAGCGGGGGAUCGCAAGACCUCGCGCGAUUGGAGCGGCCGAUAUCAGAUUAGGUAGUUGGUGGGGUAAAAGCCUACCAAGCCUUCGAUCUGUAGCUGGUCUGAGAGGACGACCAGCCACACUGGAACUGAGACACGGUCCAGACUCCUACGGGAGGCAGCAGUGGGGGAAUUUUGGACAAUGGGCGCAAGCCUGAUCCAGCAAUGCCGCGUGCAGGAUGAAGGCCUC
rnacentral:rRNA from 1 species